CUCUAAAAACAACAACAAAAAAAGAAAUCCUAUCAGUUGACAGCAUUAACUGAACUUUGUAAAAAGAAAAAAAAAGAAGAAAAAAGAAAAACCCGCAUGAAAGACAAGUAGUUCCAACUCCUUGCGUUUUUGUUCCAACUGGCUCUGCAGACAUUUCAAGAAAGAACAAAUAAUAAUAAAAAAAACAACCAGCUUAAUCUUCCCCA